rnacentral:rRNA from 1 species
AAUGAACGCUGGCGGCAGGCCUAACACAUGCAAGUCGAACGGAUCCUUCGGGACUAGUGGCGGACGGGUGAGUAACGCGUGGGAACAUACCCUUUGGUACGGAAUAGCCUCGGGAAACUGGGAGUAAUACCGUAUGUGGUCGAGAGACGAAAGAUUUAUCGCCAAAGGAUUGGCCCGCGUUGGAUUAGGUAGUUGGUGGGGUAAUGACCUACCAAGCCGACGAUCCAUAGCUGGUUUGAGAGGAUGAUCAGCCACACUGGGACUAAGACACGGCCCAGACUCCUACGGGAGGCAGCAGUGGGGAAUCUUAGACAAUGGGGGAAACCCUGAUCUAGCCAUGCCGCGUGAUCGAUGAAGGCCUUAGGGUUGUAAAGAUCUUUCAGGUGGGAAGAUAAUGACUGUACCACCAGAAGAAGCCCCGGCUAACUCCGUGCCAGCCGCCGCAGUAA